rnacentral:rRNA from 1 species
UACGUAGGGUGCAAGCGUUAAUCGGAAUUACUGGGCGUAAAGCGUGCGCAGGCGGUUUUGUAAGUCUGUCGUGAAAGCCCCGGGCUCAACCUGGGAAUUGCGAUGGAUACUGGCAGGCUGGAGUAUGGUAGAGGAAGGUGGAAUUCCCGGUGUAGCAGUGAAAUGCGUAGAGAUCGGGAGGAACACCAGUGGCGAAGGCGGCCUUCUGGACCAAUACUGACGCUCAUGCACGAAAGCGUGGGGAGCAAACAGG